rnacentral:misc_RNA from 1 species
AGUCGUAACAAGGUUUCCGUAGGUGAACCUGCGGAAGGAUCAUUGUCGUGACCCUUAACCAAAACAGACCGCGAACGUGUCUCCAAUGCUCCCGGGCUUCGGUCCGGUAAAGGCUCCCGACCUUCGUUUCGAGGGGGAGGAGCCGCAAAAGAACCCACGGCGCCGAAGGCGUCAAGGAACACUAAUAUUGCCUUGCUCGGGACCGUGGCUGGCUUGCCAGCCACUGCCCGUGCAGCGAUGCUAUACUAAUCCACACGACUCUCGGCAACGGAUAUCUCGGCUCUC